ensembl:miRNA MIR3182 microRNA 3182
GCUGCUUCUGUAGUGUAGUCCGUGCAUCCGCCCUUCGAUGCUUGGGUUGGAUCAUAGAGCAGU